rnacentral:rRNA from 1 species
UAACGAAUAUUCCGCAAUGGGCGAAAGCCUGACGGAGCGACGCCGCGUGGAGGACGAAUUCCUUCGGGAUGUAAACUCCUUUUGGGGUGAAGAAAACAAGGAGCGCUAAUACCGCUUUGCGUUGAUCGAUCCCAGAAUAAGCCUGGGCUAAUUCCGUGCCAGCAGCCGCGGUAAGACGGAACAGGCAAGCGUUGUUCGGAAUCACUGGGCUUAAAGCGCGUGUAGGCGGCUCGGUAAGUACCGUGUGAAAUCCCCCGUCUCAACCGGGGCACUGCUUGGUAUACUGCCGGGCGCGAGGUAGGUAGGGGUGCCUGGAACUCUAGGUGGAGCGGUGAAAUGCGUAGAUAUCUAGAGGAACGCCUGUGGCGAAAGCGGGGCACUGGGCCUUACCUGACGCUGAGGCGCGAAAGCGUGGGUAGCAAACG